CUAGAGUAAUCUUUAUUACGACUGCUAUUGCCUGCAUCAAAUUUGUCAUUUAUGAUGGUUGAAUAUUAAACAGCCCACUGUACACUGUCAGGGAUUAUCAAUCACAUUUGAUGUGAGUAAUUUAAAACCAUGGCUCGAAAGUUCCAGUUGCUUGCUAAGAGCCAGGAUUAAAAUGUACUCAUCAUCAAAAAUAUGAACACGCAAUUUUCUUAUUUAUUUAUAGUGUGUUUAUUUUGAGUAAGCUACCCCACUCAGUUGUAUGUGAGCAAG